GACGAACGCUGGCGGCGUGCCUAACACAUGCAAGUCGAACGAUGAACCCGGAGCUUGCUCCGGCGGAUUAGUGGCGAACGGGUGAGUAACACGUGAGUAACCUGCCCUUGACUCUGGGAUAACUGCGGGAAACUGUAGCUAAUACCGGAUACGACCCUCGGCGGCAUCGCCAGGGGGUGGAAAGAAUUUCGGUCAAGGAUGGACUCACGGCCUAUCAGCUAGUUGGUGAGGUACCGGCGCACCAAGGCGACGACGGGUAGCCGGCCUGAGAGGGUGACCGGCCACACUGGGACUGAGACACGGCCCAGACUCCUACGGGAGGCAGCAGUGGGGAAUAUUGCACAAUGGGCGCAAGCCUGAUGCAGCAACGCCGCGUGAGGGAUGACGGCCUUCGGGUUGUAAACCUCUUUUAGUAGGGAAGAGGCGAAAGUGACGGUACCUGCAGAAAAAGCACCGGCUAACUACGUGCCAGCAGCCGCAGUAA
rnacentral:rRNA from 1 species